UGAUAUGUUAGUGGAUAACUCAGCCAUUUGU
rnacentral:piRNA from 1 species